CCCUACUCGGUUACCCGGUUCCCCUAAACCCAGCACGCACAACCGCGCUUAGUACUACAACAACAGCAGCUGCAAACUGAAGGUAGAAAACGAAAAGGGGAAAAGGGAGAAGGAGAUCUGGAGGAAGAAGGGCACCGGGCAGGGAGCAGCUCGCCGGCCAGCCAUGCCCGGUUACCGCGUCCACGCCACGUCGCCGCCACUAUUCACACCACGCCGCCGUCAUCCUUGCAAUCACGAAGAGGGAGACUAAAGGGAGGAACUGGCACGCACGGGAGAGGAAAAAACCGCCUCUACGCUGCCGUCGUCCACAAGCUCAGCCACAUCGCCAUGGUCGCCGCCAAGGGUUCCGUCACAGUCAACCCGUCGCGGUUGGUGCUACUGCCGUCCCUGAUGGAUUUCACCGUGGAGAAGAGAACGACGUAGGGGAGAGGGGCCGCGCCGCUGCUGCCGCCGGGAACCGCCACUGAAGCCUGUGUAACCGUCAUCCUUACCAGCAGCGAGAGAGAAGCAAGAUGGAUCCCUCUGUUCCUGUUGUUCUGAUCCGCUGAGAAAGGGAAGGUGCCGCUAUUGUGCUUCACGCGUCGCCGACGAGCAUGGAGGAGAGGAGCUGUGUCCGCGUCACUGCCGUUUGAGGGGCUGUGCUUGGCCGUCGUUGCGCUGCCCUGCUUCACCGUGGCUGAGCUCUGCCACUCCCUGCUCUUUGGGCUUGUGAUGCUGAUGCGGGGAUCACUACAGGAAGAGGAGCAGGCUGAGUCACCGUGAUUUGGGCCGCCAAGGAUGGUUCUGUGAUUUCCGGGACCACCGCCGGAGCUUCUGGCUACUUCAGCCGUAGCCGAAAAACUCUACCGUUUCAGUUAUCGUCGCCGGAGAUCUGGCCGCCGCCGCCGCUCGAGGUGGUUACCGGGGUUGCCGCCAAGCCGGUUCAAUGAACGGUUCUAUUUUGUUUUCUUCAUUCGUGUUGCUAUGGUUAUUGCGAAAGUGGCUUGGAGCCGAGGUUUUGGUUGCCGGUGAUUUCGAGUUGAGGCGAAAAGGACUCAGUGAGGCGUUUGGGCUAUGGUUUUGCGUUUUGAAAUAGGGGCUUUUUUUUACAAACUGAUUCAUUUUAAAUUGGAAAUUGUUAUAAAUAGAUAUGCUGUACGAAAUGCAUUUCUGGUGGUUAUACAAGUCUUAUGAAUUGUCUGAUUUUGUCUUGAAUGAAUAUGGUUGCCUAUUUGAUUUAAAUAAUAUCUACUUUUGAUAAAUUGGAGAUUUCUGGAUUGGUUGAGUUGAAAUGAUUUUUGAUAAUCUGAAAGUUUGAGUUUUGUUUCAUCGGAAACUGAUUUGGUCUUGAGCCUGUUGGAAAGAGUUGAGGAUUGGUUUGGUUGGGACCCGGAAAUGGUGGCAAAGUCAAAGUUUUAGUUUUAGAGGAGAUGCUGUCGAAAUUUCUAUAAAAUCUGAGACUAUUUAAAACGGUAUUUUAAAAAAGAAUGGAUUAUGCCUUGAACUGUAUUAUCGGUAAAUGAAUUAGUCUUGAACCCCUUUAUUAAGAAAGUUAUUAUAUUUUGAAUGUAAACUAUUUUAGAAAAGAACCAUGUUCUAAAGUCAAUUUAAAGAUGAAAACAAUCAAGUUUGGAAUUUGAUCAAAUAAGCAAAUUUGAAGGAGUUUUAAUGGAGUCGAUUAACUAAUUUCACUUUACAAUAUUUUAAGAAAAGGUUGAAGUAUUUUCUGAAACUUUGAUUUAGUGGAACUGAAACACUUUCCGAGCCUUUGAAAACCGAUUUAAGAAUGAAACUAAAAAUUGGUGUUUGGUUUAAAUAUUUUGGUUUUGGUUAAGUUAGUGGUUUUGAAAUUGGUUCGGAAUUUGGAUACAUGACUUGGUUUUGGUUUAAAUUCUACAUUUAAUUAUUCAGAUCAAGAAGUUAAGGUUUCGGAGGUUUUCAAUGAAUUUAAGAAAUGAGCUAGGUUAUUCGCUCCUGAAGUCUUGAGACUUAGCUUAGGAAUUUUACGACCAAAUCUUGAUUUAGAAAUGAAUAAUUUUGAGUCUUUCAAAGAGAUUUUGAAUUUGGCAUGGUUUUGUGAUUGUUUGGAAGUGUUGGAAAGAUGUGGAGAGUGGCUCCGUUUUGAAAAGUAAUUCUUGACAAGAUGUGAAUUGAAUACGUUUGUUAUUUGAAAGAAAAUGGGCCAAGAGUGAAUUUGAAAUAAGUUAUUGAGCCGGAUUGAUUAUGGAUUUCCUCAAGAUUGAUGAGUUAUGGUUUGGUAGGCAUAAGGGUUGGGUUCGUCCCGCUUAUGCUGAGAGGAGAUUGUUGAUAAGUCACUGGCACCGGGCAAGGACGGAGGUUUGAUCCCGCUUACGGUGGAGGCAAGGACGGUGGUUUGAUCUCGCUUGCGUGUUCCGGGCAAGGGCGGAGGUUUAAUCCUGCUUUUCUGUGGGACCUACGGGUAAGGACGGUGGUUGGAUCUCGCUUAUCCGAGUCGGGUUUGGCAACGUAACCGACGCGUGAGCUCAUGGUCAGUAGGACAGACAUGCAUCAUAUGCAUUUAUGUGACAUUGAUUGGGUGUGCAUAUUGUAAUUGGUUUACUUAUGUGAAUACUUAUGUUAACUGCUAACUGUUAUAAUUGUUGUAAUUGUUAUUGAUUUUGUUUGAACUACAUUAAUUGUGAUUGUGUUUGAUUGGUUGGGUUGCGUUGAAUUGGUUGAUGAUUGAGUUGUUUGGGCCGGGGGCCGUGUUGGAUUGGAUGGGCUUGAUGCCGAGAUUGGUAUAUUGAGUUCUAGUUUUGUAUAAAGUAUCUGACCGGUUCAGCAUAGACUUAAUGAACCUAUGCUUGGAACUGGAUGGUCAUUUAUACCGCGUAGGUAACUGUUUCAUGGUUGCGGUUUAGAAAAGUAUGAAAAAUCAAACUCUUACAGCAUAGACUUAAUUAAACCUAUGUUUGGGACAUGUUGGUCAUUCAUACUGUCUAGGAAAAACAUUUCAGAUUUUACACGAACGGAAAAAAAAAGUUUUAUUUUAAAAUAUUUGAGAAAUUUAUCAAGUCUUCUAAAGGUGAUUUUCUGGAUUUCGAAUGUGUACCCAAGGUUUUUGGAAAGACUCAUAAGACGAGCAAUAAUCACUGUACUCUAAGAUUAAAUUUUUAUUUUACGUAUCUUGUUAUAACAAUUUCUGUAAUCCUAUAGUAAGAACAAGCGAGUACGACGUUCUCACUCCCCUACAGGUUAUUCUCUUUCAGAAUAUGGACGACGAAGCUUUAGAAGAGUUAUGUUUAUUUCCUGUUUAUUCGAUAUUUUUGUAUUGUCUUAGCUAUUAUUUUUCCCUCGCCUUUAUUUUUAUUAAGUUUGUAAGAGGGAUAGGAACUUAUGAUAUAUAUGUUUGUAAGCUAGUGUUAUGUAUAUAUAAAUAUAUCUUAAGGUAUUAU